UGAGGAUCCCGUGACUGGUCCAAGACCAGUGUCAGAACCAAAAGCCUGAUUCCAGUAGUGUUUCCUGCAAGCCUAAAUUUGCGGUCCAGAACGACAGAGCUCAAAUACCAUGUUCAACCAGAGCUAUGUCAGAAGAGCCGUCUCAUCUCCAGCCUUGGAAAUACAUGCAGGAAAGGGCAGGAGAAAAGUUCCGGAUCACUGGGGGAAGCGUCACAUUCUUUGGAGAUCAGACGCUAACUUGCAGAAUUGGUGUUCAUGACAACAAACUGCUGUAAACUCAAACAAAUGAAAAAGGAAAAGAAAACUAACCUGAAAUCAAGUGGACAAGGAAAGGACUGUUAGAGUUGGUGUUUCCUGAACCCCAAACUGAACGCAGCACCUCACCAAGCAGAGGCCAUCGUGCCCCAUCUCACACUCUUAGCAAGCUGUGGAAGCACCCUCUCUCAGUCUUCAAGUGGUCCUCUCAGAGGGGAACUGGUUGUAACCCCCAUUUUUCACACAACAAAACUGAGGUCCAGAGCCACAGAGCUGGCAUGAGGUGAGGCAAACCCUCAGCUCAUGCUGUUACCCAGAGCCAACAGGAUCAAUGUGAAUGAAUACUUGACCUUGAGAUUCUCUUGAUAAAUCUUUAGGAGACAGGAUGUCACACCAAAAACAGCUUAGGCAUUACCAGUAGGACUGAGUUCUAAUUAAUUUAUGGCUUAUUCAGGUGACUUCCCUAUGCCCUGAUUUACCCAUUUUUAGGUUCUGAGAUCAUUAUCUGAAUUGCUGAAUUAUUAAUAUAUAUAUAAUAUAGUUAUUAAUUGUAUACAUUAUAUGUAUUAAUUAUAUAUAUAUAUAAUGAGACUACAGCUUGGUUGGUAAAAGACUUGUCAUACAAGCAUGGGAACCUGUGUUUGACCUCCAGAAUUUACAUGAAAUUUUUUAAAAGUCAAGGUAUCUCCAGCUCUGGA